rnacentral:lncRNA from 1 species
UACUGUUGGAUUGAAUUUUGAACCUGACAAAUCGAUUUAAGAGACAAACGGUAAAAAAUUUGAGUGAGAUAAUCGAUUAUCAACACAAAAUAAUCGAUUAUGGAGCAUUUAUGUCCUGACAGAAAUCGAUGUUGGAGCCAAACGGUAACAAAGUUUAAACAGGAAAUAAUCGAUUGUCAAUAUUGGUAAUCGAUUAUUAUUGAAAUAUGGUUGAUACAGAAGUUUAAUCAAGAAAUAAUCGAUUGUCAAUUUUGGUAAUCGAUUAUUAUUGACAUAUGGUUGAUACAGAGAACUCGGAGAAUUUCUGAAUGUGACAAAUAAUCGAUUAUAGGAAUAAAUAAUCGAUUGCCUGGAAAGGUAUUGCUGAAUGACUGAGACAGAAAUCGAUUAUGCAAUAUAAGGAGUUAAAAAAUUAAACACAUUUGCAUAAUAAAACUAAUCAGUCAAAAUAAUCGAUUAUUGAUACUGAUAAUCGAUGUACUGCACAGUAGAUA